GUCUAUGGCCAUGCCACCCUGAACAAGCCCGAUCCCGUCUGAUCUCGGAAGCUAAGCAGGGUCGGGCCUGGUUAGUACUUGGAUGGGAGACCACCUAGGGAGACCAGGUGCUGUAGGCG
rnacentral:rRNA from 1 species